GUAAUGUCUGGGAAACUGCCUGAUGGAGGGGGAUAACUACUGGAAACGGUGGCUAAUACCGCAUAACGUCGCAAGACCAAAGAGGGGGACCUUCGGGCCUCUUGCCAUCAGAUGUGCCCAGAUGGGAUUAGCUAGUUGGUGAGGUAACGGCUCACCAAGGCGACGAUCCCUAGCUGGUCUGAGAGGAUGACCAGCCACACUGGAACUGAGACACGGUCCAGACUCCUACGGGAGGCAGCAGUGGGGAAUAUUGCACAAUGGGCGCAAGCCUGAUGCAGCCAUGCCGCGUGUAUGAAGAAGGCCUUCGGGUUGUAAAGUACUUUCAGCGGGGAGGAAGGGAGUAAGGUUAAUAACCUUAUUCAUUGACGUUACCCGCAGAAGAAGCACCGGCUAACUCCGUGCCAGCAGCCGCGGUAAUACGGAGGGUGCAAGCGUUAAUCGGAAUUACUGGGCGUAAAGCGCACGCAGGCGGUCUGUCAAGUCGGAUGUGAAAUCCCCGGG
rnacentral:rRNA from 1 species